rnacentral:rRNA from 1 species
CGGCGGGCUUAACACAUGCAAGUCGAGCGACCUCUUCGGAGGGAGCGGCGGACGGGUGAGUAACACGUAGGUCACGUACCUCUGGAAUGGGGAUAGCCCGGGGAAACUCGGAUUAAUACCCAAUAUGCCGAAAGGUGAAAGGAGCAAUCCGUCCGGAGAUCGGCCUGCGGCCCAUUAUUUAAUCCUUGUUGGUGAGGUAACGGCUCACCAAGGGUACGAUGGGUAGCUGGUCUGAGAGGAUGAUCAGCCACACUGGGACUGAGACACGGCCCAGACUCC